rnacentral:lncRNA from 1 species
AGACACGUCUGAACCUAGUGUCAUUUAUGUAUUUUUUUUCUUUAGGUUCCAUGUGGAAGGCUCAUAAACAAAAAAGAGAAACACAGCCAGAAGUUGGUAAUGCUCACCAAUCAGUCUGAAGAUUCUGAAAGGUGUGAAAGCAUAGAGCUGGACAAUAAAAUCCGGGAUCUGAUUGAAAGAAAUGCUUCUAAUCCAAAAGGAGUCACGAUAGAGGCCACACCAAGUCAUAGAUUUUCAUGUUCUCCAAAGGUAAGAAAACUCUUCUUACUUCAUCU